AGAGUUUGAUCCUGGCUCAGGACUAACGCUGGCGGCGUGCCUAACACAUGCAAGUCGAACGGGCUGUAGCAAUACAGUCAGUGGCAGACGGGUGAGUAACACGUAGAUAACCUACCCCUUCGUUGGGGAUAGCCACUGGAAACGGUGGGUAAAACCGAAUAUUCUCUGUUGAAGGCAUCUUCGAUAGAGGAAAACUUAGG
rnacentral:rRNA from 1 species